rnacentral:lncRNA from 1 species
CAUAUUCAUAAGGCAGAGAUGAGCCCCAACUCAAGACGCCGUACAGAAGUUGCAGUGGUUAACAUUGAAAUCGGAACUGUGUAAAGUGCAAAGAGUGAGCGUCAGUGGAGUGAGUGCCCAGGCACAGAUUGGUCCUCUCUACAGCACACACUCCCACCAGGCUUUGGGACCAUAGCACACAGUGGAAGAGCGAAGGGAAAGAUUGUAAGCCAGAUGUCGAGAAAAACUGGAGUGACAUCGUCUCCCGGAUAUGGAAUAUGGUAGAAUCAUCGUGCUCACGAGCUCACAGUGCCCCGUAAUUGCCUUCACAAGACCUGUACAAGACCCAG